AUUGAACGCUGGCGGCAUGCCUUACACAUGCGAGUCGAACGGUAACAGGUCUUCGGAUGCUGACGAGUGGCGAACGGGUGAGUAAUACAUCGGAACGUGCCCGAUCGUGGGGGAUAACGCAGCGAAAGCUGUGCUAAUACCGCAUACGAUCUACGGAUGAAAGCGGGGGAUCGCAAGACCUCGCGCGGACGGAGCGGCCGAUGGCAGAUUAGGUAGUUGGUGGGAUAAAAGCUUACCAAGCCGACGAUCUGUAGCUGGUCUGAGAGGACGACCAGCCACACUGGGACUGAGACACGGCCCAGACUCCUACGGGAGGCAGCAGUGGGGAAUUUUGGACAAUGGGCGCAAGCCUGAUCCAGCCAUGCCGCGUGCAGGAUGAAGGCCUUCGGGUUGUAAACUGCUUUUGUACGGAACGAAAAAGCUCUCUCUAAUACAGGGGGUGAAUGACGGUACCGUAAGAAUAAGCACCGGCUAACUACGUG
rnacentral:rRNA from 1 species